UCUCCAGCCACAAAGAGAAGGUCCCUGUCACUCGUCGACGAGGUAGUUUGCAAGAGGGUGUCAUAGAAUUGGUCUUUCAGACCAUCUGGUAGCCCCGGUUGAGGUGCAUAGGCUGAGAUGACAGUAGCUAAUCUAUGAUGAAGCACUAGUCUGAUCUUAAGUACUCUGUCACUUACUCUAACGACCUCGAUUACCUUAUCCACCCAUUUCUCCGCUAGAAGUAUUCCUACGCCCCCGACCCCGUCAGUGUUCCCUGCCCAGAAAAUCUUGGUAGAUGAAAUUUGAAAGGAGCCCAUCAUGUGCUUAUAUUUGUGUGUACCCUUGUGUAGAUAUUGUGAUGGUUGUAAAUAACCAUUAUUGUCUUACAAGUAAUGUUGUUUGUUUACAGUCUUCCAUGAGAAACAUGUUUACCUAUGGGAAAAUAUUAUCUUGCUUGGAACAAAAGGGCAUCUGGCUGUAGAAAACCUGCUUCAACAAAUUUUGUCUGACCUAUGCAAGCAUAGAGAAAUAGUUGUUAAAUGCUGAAGAUGAUGUUUGCUAUGUAUAGAUAUAAGACAUUCUAGUAUAUAUCUGUUAGUGGUACAGGGGUAUAGAAAAUAGGUUCCUACUUAGUAAAUUAAAUUUGUUUUUAAAAAAGUGUCUGGAGUUAGAGGCUUAUACUAAUCCAGAAACAACAUCCCUAACAUUUAUAAAAUAUACACUUCAGAUGCAGUUUCUUAUAAAUCACAGCUACUGGCAAAUUAAUUCUGUGACCACUUCAGUUUCAAUUCCUUCCUUGUUGCAGCAAUUUCAUUUUGAAAGAAAUAUAAGACAAGAUGUUAAAAACAUCCCGCAAUCUUCUUUGUACUUCUUGGACAAAUUUGAGACCUGAUGGUACUUACAGAAGCAUUGCUCAAUGUGAAAGAAAUAACCGUCACAGCAAUGUGUGUGGUAGUCACAGACACCCAUUACCAUCUUAACGGUCGAUUAUUCAAUUAUAAAAACAACUGUUUGGAACACUGGAAUUUUCAUUGUACUGGUUAAUGAACUGUGACAUAGAGAACACUGUUACUAUGGUGACUGAUGUGAUAAAGGUUGAAAGUGGAUAGAUUUGUUUUCUAUUGUAUCCUCUACCUUCUAUGAACUGUCUCGUAUUCACGAGAAUAGGAGUAAAUAAAUAUAUAUUCUAAAGAGUGAAGCGAAAGCAGACUAAAUUACAGAAACUAAAUUACAUUAUGGGUAGAUACUUUGCCCACUUUGUUUAGUCUAGAAUAUAUACAGUGCUUUAAAAAUGAUUAUAGUGGUGGUCGUGGUGGUGAUGGUAGUUGUAGGCUUAUGAUAGUGGUGAGCUUGUGGUGGUAAUGGUGGUGGCGGUGGUUGUGAUGGUGAUUCAGAUGGUGGUGGUAGUGGUGGGGUUAGGGUGAGAGUAGUGAUGGAAGUUGUGAUUUAGCUCAUGGUCAGUCUGAUUAAUCAGAUGCGUACAAUUUAAGAUGAUCCAGUUGUGACUAUCUCUUCUUCUUAUAUUUAUCAGGGACUCCCUUGUCCAAUGUCUCUUUUCUUUUUAAGAUGGUAAAGUGUGAUUUUAAGGACACUGGGCUGCUAUUUCUAGCAAGUCAUAUGACUUUGUGCAGGCUCUCUUAUUAACUUGAGGACAAUGGUGAUGGCGAUUGUAGCAAGAGUGAUGAUGAUGGCACCAACAAAAACAAUCAUGGCAAAGAUUCUGCUGCUGCAGCUAUUGCAAACCUUGGUACCUGUGUACCUACGACUAAAUGGAUUGGGCUAAUGAGAGUUAACUACCUUUUCCAAGAGUGCGCAGUACUAAUGUUGAAAUUUGAACUCAAAGUCAAUUAGAUGAUAGACCAGACUUGUAACAAAUCAUCUAUUACUUGGAAUAAAGCUUUUCUUUUCGUUGAACGAACACACUUAA